CGUUUAUGAAAGCGGUCGUCAACAACGCAGUUGUCAAUUUGAAUGAUAUCGCGGAUAUCACUGAUAUGGCUAAUGGUAUACUUAUAGGAUCGCGGAUGAUGUGUAUUCAGAAGCUCAAAUGAGGUCAGACAAAGAAAUUGCACGCCCAUCGAUCAAACUGAAGAGUGCAUACGAAUCGGUUAACAUGGCCUUCUUUUGGAUGACUUUCCUGUUCGUCGCAUGCCUGGCGUCAGCUGCGGAUUUCAUGGGAGAAGGGGAGGUAAGAAAUGAGUCUUCCUCGACCGUGCAUACGAUCCUUAAGAGGCUCAAGAGAUCGACCUGCAAGGUGACAGAGAUGAACUGGCACUUGGAAGAGGUUCGUGAAUUGAUCAGCGAGGCCACAGCUCAGGAAAAGACGUCAUCAAGUUCAGCGACCGCUUUGUAUUAAACGGAUACACAAUGCGACUAAGGGCUGAUGUGAACGCAAAGACGGAGAACUGUGGCUGGGAUUGUAUUUGAACCCGUGCAAAGGUCCCACUGACCAGCUCCUCGCGUGGCCUUUCAGGACGCCCUACACUCUAAGUGUCUUCCAUCCUAUGGAUAAUACGUUAGACGUCUCGAAAACGAAAUCGUCAUUUUCAUCCACUUCGGCCGAUGUCUUCAAGAGACCAACAACCAGAUGCAACAUGUCCUUGGGAUUCGACAUGAUAAGAGUAUCCGAAGCUCAAGAAAAAGGAUACAUAUUUGACAAUGCCAUCUCUGUUGGUGUUAAGCUCAAUCUGUAAAUUGGGAUUGGUUGCUGGGUCGGUUUUAAAGGGACUAUGAAAUUUCCCGAACCCCCAUACUUUUUUUCGAUGGAAACUGUUCUUCCCGCAGAGAAACUAAUCUGCCACAAAUUUUUCCGGACGAAAUCGCUCCACUCUGCGAGGAGCGCGCGCUGGAAAUGUCUCUUCCGCGUUCCUCCUCUCCCGCGCAUAUUUCCCUGCCGAUGGUGUAACUGUACGGACCGCUCUUCGGUUCCCCGUUACGUCACCGAUGUUGCACAAUGGCAAGUAAUGCCGCGAGCUCGCGCUGUGGCUGCCGCCACUGCCGAAAUCUGCCGAUCGCGCGAAAGCUGCUGUCAUGGAGAUUUCCACUCCCGAUGAACGCAUACGCGGGAUCCUACGGCGCAUGCUCCUGGCGGGAUUCCUCGGCUCGGCAACACGUCACGAUGACGUGUUGCUGAGCCGGCCGUGGUCGCGUCAAGUUACCCGUUGUGUCUCCGCUCGGCAGCUCGCCACGGCGUGGCGCCAGCUGUCCUCCCUUCGCCGCUCCGUUUAAAUUCGCUCCCGAGAAAUCCGCUCGCGCGACGAAAGUAAAAUUUCGGUUCUAGACUCAGAAAAAUGUCUUCUUUCGAACGAAACGAAGAAAAAAAUCGUUUCAUAGUCCCUUUAAGCUCAAUCUGUAAAUUGGGAUUGGUUGCUGGGUCGGUUUUAAGAAAAAAUAAAUUGGGAUGAAGAUGAUGA